GGGCCCGCACAAGCGGUGGAUUAUGUGGUUUAAUUCGAAGCAACGCGCAGAACCUUACCUAGGCUUGAAAUCCUACGAAUCUGGCCCAAAAGCCGGAGUGCCCCUCGGGGAAUGUAGAGACAGGCGCUGCAUGGCUGUCGUCAGCUCGUGUCGUGAGAUGUUGGGUUAAGUCUCGCAACGAGCGCAACCCCUAUUUUUAGUUGCCAGCAUUAAGUUGGGCACUCUAGAGAGACUGCCUGGGUUAACCAGGAGGAAGGUGGGGAUGACGUCAAGUCCUCAUGGCCCUUAUGCCUAGGGCUACACACGUAAUACAAUGGUCGGUACAAAGGGACGCCAACCCGCAAGGGGGAGCAAACCUCAAAAAGCCGAUCUCAGUCCGGAUUGGAGUCUGCAACUCGACUCCAUGAAGUUGGAAUCGCUAGUAAUCGCAGGUC
rnacentral:rRNA from 1 species